rnacentral:rRNA from 1 species
UGGUCUUGACAUGUACGGAAUCCUCCAGAGACGGAGGAGUGCCUUCGGGAGCCGUAACACAGGUGCUGCAUGGCUGUCGUCAGCUCGUGUCGUGAGAUGUUGGGUUAAGUCCCGCAACGAGCGCAACCCUUGUCAUUAGUUGCCAUCAUUAAGUUGGGCACUCUAAUGAGACUGCCGGUGACAAGCCGGAGGAAGGUGGGGAUGACGUCAAGUCCUCAUGGCCCUUAUGACCAGGGCUUCACACGUCAUACAAUGGCCGGUACAGAGGGUUGCGAUACUGUGAGGUGGAGCUAAUCCCUAAAAGCCGGUCUCAGUUCGGAUUGGGGUCUGCAACUCGAGUGCAUGAAGUCGGAAUCGCUAGUAAUCGCAGGUCAGCAUACUGCGGUGAAUACGUUCCCGGGUC